ACGGCCCCCGCUGAUCAGCCAGGGGGCAGGCCCAGGUGAGCUGCAGGUGUGUGCUGAUGGGGGCUCCCCUGUAGCAGGCUGCAGCUGGCCCUCCCACCACCUAAAGCUCUUCACGCCAUGGAGGCUGCAUGCUCCUGGAUGCUCUCUGAAGUCUUCUCUUCCUGCCUGACAGAAGACAGCAGUAUGGUCACUGGAGCCUUGUGCCGCCGUUAGCUGAGCAGCAUUUCAGAAGCAUAAUACCAUGGCAGCCAGGAUCUGGGCCUUGUGUUGAUAGCUCUUUCUCUACAAAAUGUGUUCUUCAGUCUACUCUGAGACCCAUGUGCACGAGUCCCGUCUGGGGGUCUGCAGCAGGAGCGAUUCAGACAUGUGAAAGUUUGCUUCCUUUCCAUUUGAACGGAGAGCGAAAGGCUAAUUCCAUUUUACAGUCAUCUUUGUACCAAUAUAGUUUGUAUGUUGCAUUUGACCUCCUGUAACAAGGUUAAACCACAAGGAUCCCCUUGAGAAGUUGCUAUUCAUCUUUUAUAUGUGAAGAUUUUCAAGUAUAGAAAGGGGAUAAACCUAAUAUGGUGUUUAAUGGAAAAAAAUUAUGACACCAAUAACACAUCUGUGUCUGUAAUUUCACAGGUUUUCUUUCUGUAUAUUUAUAUAUGUAUAUAUGUAUAAUUUAAUAUCAGCCUCAGGGUUGUGGUCUCACAUGUCAUCAGCUUGCAGGAAACUGGAUCCUUGGACUAAGUAUCAGAUGAGUUGCUAAUGUUUGGAAAAAAAGCAAAAAACAUGCUUUGGGUCUCUGUUUUAUGGCCGUUAUUGAAGUAAGAAUUUGUGAUUGUAACCUGAUGCUUGCCUCACCAACAUGUUUUCAUUAUUGUCUGGAUAAUUGAAAGUCCAGGCAAAUUUGGAUGUUAGGAGAUAUUAUACGUGAAGGUCUCAGUGCUCAGCACAGCUGAAUGUAGAGGUGGUUCAGAUUAAGGAUGAAUGUUUCACCAUUUUAUGUGGGUUAGAGAUUGUUUUAUUCCCCACCAGCAGCAGUCCAGACACAGGCUGAUUAACAUGUACUUAGUUUACUUCCAGGGCUGCUUCUCCAGCACACCCAGGCUGUCGUGCACGAGCUCUCGCUCUGAGCAGAAGUGUAACUUCUCAGGCUGACUUGGCAGCAAUUCAGAGUAAGCUACUCACAACAAUACAACGAUGUAUUUUAUCUUACUCUGCAAGGAAAUGCCCAAACAAAAAUGGGAGUCGAGUCUGAGCUAGCCUGCGUGUGUCUAAGGAGCGGGGGGGUCUAGAGGUGGAACUGUGGGAAAACUGCUUGCAAAAUUCCUUUUAA